UGGGGAAUAUUGCACAAUGGGCGCAAGCCUGAUGCAGCCAUGCCGCGUGUGUGAAGAAGGCCUUCGGGUUGUAAAGCACUUUCAGCGAGGAGGAAGGUGGUGAACUUAAUACGUUCAUCAAUUGACGUUACUCGCAGAAGAAGCACCGGCUAGCUCCGUGCCAGCAGCCGCGGUAAUACGGAGGGUGCAAGCGUUAAUCGGAAUUACUGGGCGUAAAGCGCACGCAAGGCGGUUUGUUAAGUCAGAUGUGAAAAUCCCCGGGCUCAACCUGGGAACUGCAUUUGAAACUGGCAAGCUAGAGUCUCGUAAGAGGGGGGUAGAAUUCCAGGUGUAGCGGUGAAAUGCGUAGAGAUCUGGAGGAAUACCGGUGGCGAAGGCGGCCCCCUGGACGAAGACUGACGCUCAGG
rnacentral:rRNA from 1 species